CAUUCGUGAUGCAUUUACUGAGAUGCUGGGGGGUCUUUUUAUGAUGAUUCCCUCCAUUACGGUUGCAUUAUACCACAGAGAUACUGGAGUGCCUGUGUAUAUAUGUAUGAAUUCCAGCACCCGCUAAGUGUAUACCAAGAUCUCGGACCCAGCUUUGUGAAAGCUGACCAUGGUGAUGAUACUGGAUGAUACUAUACAGAACCGUCAUGGGAUACUGGGCGAACUCUAUUCGCAUUGGAUCACCAAAUGGUCC